rnacentral:rRNA from 1 species
AGUGAACGCUGGCGGUAGGCCUAACACAUGCAAGUCGAACGGCAGCACAGUAAGAGCUUGCUCUUACGGGUGGCGAGUGGCGGACGGGUGAGGAAUACAUCGGAAUCUACUUUUUCGGGGGGGAUAACGUAGGGAAACUUACGAUAAUACCGCAUACGACCUACGGGUGAAAGCAGUGGAUCGUCGGACCUUGCGCGAUUGAAUGAGCCGAUGUCGGAUUAGCUGGUUGGCGGGGUAAAGGCCCACCAAGGCGACGAUCCGUAGCUGGUCUGAGAGGAUGAUCAGCCACACUGGAACUGAGCCACGGUCCAGACUACUACGGGAGGCAGCAGUGGGGAAUAUUGGACAGUGGGCGCAAGCCUGAUCCAGCGAUACCGCGUGGGUGAAGAAGGCCUUCGGGUUGUAAAGCCCUUUUGUUGGGAAAGAAAAGCAGCAGGUUAAUACCCCGCUGUUCUGACGGUACCCAAAGAAUAAGCACCGGCUAACUUCGUG